rnacentral:rRNA from 1 species
GAUGAACGCUGGCGGCGUGCCUAAUACAUGCAAGUCGAGCGGACGGACGAGAUUCUUGCUUCUCUGAUGUUAGCGGCGGACGGGUGAGUAAUACGUGGCUAACCUAUCUAUAAGACUGGGAUAACUUCGGGAAACCGGAGCUCAUACUGGAAAAUACUUUGAACCGCAGGGUUCAAAAGAGAAACACGGUCUGGCUGUCACUUCUAGCUGUAUCCGCGUUGCAUUAGCUAGUUGGUUAGGUAACGGCUUACCACGGCAACGAUGCAUAGCCGACCUGAGAGGGUGAUCGGCCACACUGGAGCUGAGACACGGUCCAGAGUCUGACGGGAGGCAGAAGUAGGGAAUCUUCCGCGAUGGGCGAAAGCCUGACGGAGCAACGCCGCGCGAGUGAUGAAGGUCUUCGGAUCGUAAAACUCUGUUAUGAGGGAAGAACAUAUGUGUAAGUAACUGUGCACAUCUUGACGGUAGCUAGUCAGAAAGCCACGGCUAACUACGUG